CUACUGGUAGUAUAAAUUGAGUACAGGUUACUUACAAUAACCAGGUGAAUUUUUCUAGGUAGA
rnacentral:tRNA from 1 species